rnacentral:rRNA from 1 species
UGAACGCUGGCGGCAGGCCUAACACAUGCAAGUCGAGCCGCAUAACACAGAGGAGCUUGCUCCUUGGGUGACGAGCGGCGGACGGGUGAGUAAUGCCUGGGGAUCUGCCCGAUAGAGGGGGAUAACUACGGGAAACUGUAGCUAAUACCGCAUAAUGUCUACGGACCAAAGUGGGGGCUCUUCGGACCUCAUGCUAUCGGAUGAACCCAGGUGGGAUUAGCUAGUUGGUGAGGUAAUGGCUCACCAAGGCGACGAUCUCUAACUGGUUUGAGAGAAUGACCAGUCACACUGGAACUGAGACACGGUCCAGACUCCUACGGGAGGCAGCAGUGGGGAAUAUUGCACAAUGGGCGCAAGCCUGAUGCAGCCAUGCCGCGUGUGUGAAGAAGGCCUUCGGGUUGUAAAGCACUUUCAGCGGGGAGGAAGGGUCACUAGUUAAUACCUAGUGGCAUUGACGUUACUCGCAGAAGAAGCACCGGCUAACUCCGUGCCAGCAGCCGCGGUAAUACGGAGGGUGCAAGCGUUAAUCGGAAUUACUGGGCGUAAAGCGCACGCAGGCGGUUUGUUAAGUCAGAUGUGAAAUCCCCGAGCUCAACUUGGGAACUGCAUUUGAAACUGGCAAGCUAGAGUCUUGU